ensembl:processed_transcript
GGUGCUCUGGAAGGGGGCGCGGCUGCCGCCUCCGAGGUCCUUGGGAUCAUUUUACUGCAAAACGCAACGCUGGUCACGGAGGGACCUGAGCGGACCACCUCGGCACUCUUCAGUUGGCCUCCCAGGACGGACUUCCGGCAAAGCCCCUGUACCUCAGAGGACCAGAAGAUGGUGUCAGAUCCUCUGGAGCUGGAAUUGCUGGCAGUUGUGUGCUGCCUGACAUCAUGAGUACUAGAAAGAGGAGUCAGGUCUGUGUAUCUUUUCAGAAGAGUUCUUUGAGAACCCAAAGCUAGCACAGUGAAAGGAAGCAGAGAUUUGUCGGGGCAUGGUAGCAUCUGAUGGCCAUGUCUUCCAGAUUGCAGUGGGAAUCUCAGGCAUCUCUUGAGACAGAGAAGAAACCCUUAAGACAUCUUUUUGGCAAGUGGGCAAAUGGCAGUCCAGUGGCUUCAGCCCACUGAAGGUGAGCUGGGGGUGAACCUGAGAGUCACUUUUCAACCUGGGACACUACAUCCUGCUCUACCAGUGACAGACUGUGUUUCUUGAUUUACCGAGUCUUUGUAGACUCA